GACAGAGGGUGCAAACGUUGUUCGGAAUUACUGGGCGUAAAGCGCGUGUAGGCGGCCCUGCAAGUCGGGUGUGAAAUCCCAUGGCUCAACCAUGGAAGUGCACUCGAAACUGCAGGGCUAGAGUCCUGGAGAGGAAGGUGGAAUGCUUGGUGUAGAGGUGAAAUGCGCAGAUAUCAGGAGGAACACCAGCGGCGAAGGCGGCGCUCUGGGCCGGAACUGACGCUGAGGAGCGAAAGCGUGGGUAGCGAACAGG
rnacentral:rRNA from 1 species